rnacentral:rRNA from 1 species
AUCUACGGCUUUGACACCAUGAACAAGCCUGAUCCUGUCUGAUCUCGGAAGCUAAGCUGGGUUGGGCCUGGUUAGUACUUGGGUAGGAGACUACCUAGGAAGACCAGGUGCUGUAGGCA